rnacentral:rRNA from 1 species
CAGCCGUAAACGAUGUGCGUUAGGUGUGUCGGUAACCACGCGUUACUGAUGCGCCGAAGAGAAAUCGUGAAACGCACCACCUGGGAAGUACGGUCGCAAGGCUGAAACUUAAAGGAAUUGGCGGGGGGAGCACCACAACAGGUGGAGCCUGCGGUUUAAUUGGAUUCAACGCCGGACAUCUCACCGGAUAAGACAGCUGAAUGAUUGUCAAUCUGAAGGUUUUACAUGACUAGCUGAGAGGAGGUGCAUGGCGUCAGUGACU